UAUGGAGGAUGCGAGCGUUAUCCGGAUUUAUUGGGUUUAAAGGGUGCGUAGGCGGAAUAUCAAGUCAGCGGUAAAAAUUCGGGGCUCAACCCCGUCGUGCCGUUGAAACUGAUGUUCUUGAGUGGGCGAGAAGUAUGCGGAAUGCGUGGUGUAGCGGUGAAAUGCAUAGAUAUCACGCAGAACUCCGAUUGCGAAGGCAGCAUACCGGCGCCCAACUGACGCUGAAGCACGAAAGCGUGGGUAUCGAACAGG
rnacentral:rRNA from 1 species